rnacentral:rRNA from 1 species
UACGGGGGGGAGCAAGCGUUGUUCGGAUUUACUGGGCGUAAAGGGCGCGUAGGCGGUCGUGACAAGUCACUUGUGAAAUCUCCGGGCUUAACUCGGAACGGUCAAGUGAUACUGUCGGACUAGAGUACAGAAGGGGCAACUGGAAUUCUCGGGUGUAGCGGUGAAAUGCGCAGAUAUCGGGAGGAACACCAAUUGCGAAGGCAGCUCGCUGGGACGUCACUGACGCUAAGACGCGAAAGCGUGGGGAGCAAACAGG